rnacentral:rRNA from 1 species
AGUGAACGCUGGCGGUAGGCCUAACACAUGCAAGUCGAACGGCAGCACAGUAAGAGCUUGCUCUUACGGGUGGCGAGUGGCGGACGGGCGAGGAAUACAUCGGAAUCUACUUUUUCGUGGGGGAUAACGUAGGGAAACUUACGCUAAUACCGCAUACGACCUACGGGUGAAAGCAGGGGAUCUUCGGACCUUGCGCGAUUGAAUGAGCCGAUGUCGGAUUAGCUAGUUGGCGGGGUAAAGGCCCACCAAGGCGACGAUCCGUAGCUGGUCUGAGAGGAUGAUCAGCCACACUGGAACUGAGACACGGCCCAGACUCCUACAGGAGGCAGCAGUGGGGAAUAUUGGACAAUGGGCGCAAGCCUGAUCCAGCCAUACCGCGUGGGUGAAGAAGGCCUUCGGGUUGUAAAGCCCUUUUGUUGGGAAAGAAAAGCAGCAGGUUAAUACCCCGCUGUUCUGACGGUACCCAAAGAAUAAGCACCGGCUAACUUCGUG